rnacentral:rRNA from 1 species
CAAUAGCGUAUAUUAAAGUUGUUGCAGUUAAAAAGCUCGUAGUUGGAUUUCUGGUAGGAGCGACCGUGCCGAACUUGACUGUUCGAGUAUUGUGUUGUCUUCAGCCAUCCUCGUGGAGAACUUUUCUAACAUUAACUUGUUGGGAUUGGGACCCGCGUCGUUUACUGUGAAAAAAUUAGAGUGUUUAAAGCAGGCAUUAGCUUGAAUACAUUAGCAUGGAAUAAUAAGAUAGGACUUUGGUACUAUUUUGUUGGUUUGCAUACCAAAUUAAUGAUCAACAGGAACAGUUUGUGGAUAUUCGUAUGAACAUGUCAGAGGUGAAAUUCUUGGAUUUUGAUCAGACGAACUACUGCGAAAGCAUUUAUCAAGGAUGUUUUCAUUAA